rnacentral:pre_miRNA from 1 species
GGUUGGCAUAAGGUGGUACCAUGUAACAUUUUAACCCAUAGUACGAUCCAUGCCGACUCAG